UACAUUUUAGUAUAAGAAGUACAUAAAUUUUUGAAAUUUAAAGGAAUAAUUUAAUUUUAUUAAGUGUAA
rnacentral:tRNA from 1 species